rnacentral:snRNA from 1 species
AAUCUCUGGUUUCCCUUCAAAACGUAUAAAUCUUUCGCCUUNUUACUAAAGAUUUCCGUGGAGGGGAACACUCAAAUGAGUCUAUAGUAUUUUUGACGCCACACUCUCGGUGUGGCUUCUU